UGGCUCAGUGGUUAAGAGCACUGCCCCUUCCAGAGGACCUGGGUUCAAUUCCCAG
rnacentral:tRNA from 1 species